GGCGUGUUACAUUUGAUUGAAAUAAGCAUAAAGAAAAGCUGCCUCGAAAAAAGAGAAAAGCUGUCUUAAAUCAGGGGUUUUAUAGCUCCAGAAAUAUACAAAGUUAGGAAUUUCUUUUGACUUGAACUUGGUGGGAUACCUGUAUAACUGAUACAUAACACACGGGCAAACUGUGGGAGUAACCUGGUUGAUUAACUUUUCUCCUCAGUUUCACCAGGGAACAAUAAUAGGUACCUGAGUCUUUGAUGAAAAACUUAACCUUAAGAACUAGCAAAAUAACAUUCUCAAAUAAUUAAUA
rnacentral:lncRNA from 1 species